rnacentral:lncRNA from 1 species
CUUCACAGCUCCGGGGCCCCAUCUCACCCUCCUCUUCACUCUGCUCAGUGUGCUCUGGCCACACUGCCCUCUUCACCGCUCCUCUGAUAGCCCACGCUCUCUCCAGAUGCAGUCUGUCUUUCAGACACUUCUGAUGAAACUGAAAAUGCCACCAGGGAGAAGCAGCUGAAUUCAGAGCUGGGUUUUGCACUGUGUGCAGCCUGAACCUUCCAAAGCUGGCCUCAGCAAUGUCUCCCUUCCUGCAUGCUCCUCUGCAAUGUGACCCUGACACUCCUCCAUCAAGAGGUGGGGCCCAACUUCCCUCUUCUUGAAGCUAGGUUCAUCUGUGACUUCUUCAACCCAUAAACUUUGGCAAAAGUGAUAUGCUGUGACUUCUGGGGUUUGGUUGUGAGUGACCAGGCAGCUGCUGCCUUGUUCAGAUAACACUUGUGCUGAGGUCGCUGAGCCACUGUGGAAGACAUCCAAGCUCCAUAAAGACAGGUCAAGUGCACAUGCUCCAGUCAACAGCCCAGCUGAGCCCUCAGCAUACAGCCAACACCAACUGCAAGCUGAGGGUGAAACAACUUGGAUGUCCAUUUGGAUGUCAAGCUGGACUUCAGAUGCCUGUGGUUGCAGCUCUGUCUGCAACUACAUGGAAGACGCCAUGUGAACCACCUAGUAGAGCCCUUCCUAGAAUUGUUGGCCCUCAGACUCUACAUGCAUAUCAAAAUGAAUGUUGUUUGAAGCCAUAA